GCUUAAACAACCUGAAUGUCCUCUGACCUACCUGUAACAUUUGAUGGAGGUGUGUGAGUAACUUACAAAGCUGUAGGUCCCAAGGUCGGUCUGAAAAAGAAAGUUCAUAUCCGGGAGCACUGACCCUGUAGUGUAAUCCUGGCACCUUAAAACGUACUGCUCCCUCCACCUUCACUUCAAGGUUAUGAAAACAUUGAGUAAAAGGGAUGAUCUGUUCAAAGUCCUUAGUGUUCUGCCAAUUUAAAACAGUAAUUUUCAAAGCAGUUAUUUGCAAGGAAAUUGCCUAGAACUUCUCCCAGUGUGCGGUUGUUUUGUGUGUUUGUGUGUGUGUUUUGUUUGUUUGUUUUCAGUCUGUCCACAGGCGUACUUUUAUAGGUCUGUGAUAGUACGUAGCUCUUCCAGUUGGCAAACACCUGCUGGACAACCCCUGAGAGAUUCAUCUGAGUGAGAGAGCACUCUCCAGCCCCAUCGGAGUGGGUUUGCAGGGAAAUCAUAAGGAAGAAAUCCUUAUCUUUCCAACGCUGAGAUGCCUCUGCCGAAGAGUAGAAUGGGAGGUGAGGAAUUGGGGUGGGCCCUCACUGCUUUGCCUCCGGAUCAGUAGGGUACAGCCCUUGGAGACCAGGAUCUUCCUUGGCUGGGACACCUUCAUCCUCCCCUGAGGGAGGAGAGGUAGGGAUCUGCCUGUGGAAAGAAGUGACAGUGCCUUGUAAAUAGAAAUAGGAGGUAGGAGGACCGUCAGUUGUCAGUUCGUG
rnacentral:lncRNA from 1 species